AGCGAACGCUGGCGGCAGGCCUAACACAUGCAAGUCGAACGAACCUUUCGGGGUUAGUGGCGGACGGGUGAGUAACACGUGGGAACGUGCCUUUAGGUUCGGAAUAACUCAGGGAAACUUGUGCUAAUACCGAAUGUGCCCUUCGGGGGAAAGAUCUAUCGCCUUUAGAGCGGCCCGCGUCUGAUUAGCUAGUUGGUUGAGGUAAUGGCUCACCAAGGCGACGAUCAGUAGCUGGUCUGAGAGGAUGAUCAGCCACAUUGGGACUGAGACACGGCCCAAACUCCUACGGGAGGCAGCAGUGGGGAAUCUUGCGCAAUGGGCGAAAGCCUGACGCAGCCAUGCCGCGUGAAUGAUGAAGGUCUUAGGAUUGUAAAAUUCUUUCACCGGGGACGAUAAUGACGGUCCCCGGAGAAGAAGCCCCGGCUAACUUCGUG
rnacentral:rRNA from 1 species